UACGUAGGGUGCGAGCGUUAAUCGGAAUUACUGGGCGUAAAGCGCGCGCAGGCGGUUCUUCAAGUCAGUGGUGAAAGCCCGGAGCUCAACUCCGGAAUUGCCAUUGAAACUGUGGAACUUGAGGAUGAGAGAGGUGAGUGGAAUUCCCAGUGUAGAGGUGAAAUUCGUAGAUAUUGGGAAGAACACCGGUGGCGAAGGCGGCUCACUGGCUCAUUUCUGACGCUCAGGCGCGACAGCGUGGGGAUCAAACAGG
rnacentral:rRNA from 1 species